AUUGAACGCUGGCGGCAGGCCUAACACAUGCAAGUCGAGCGAGCGGCGGACGGGUGAGUAAUGUAUGGGGACUGCCCGAUAGAGGGGGAUAACUACCGGAAACGGUGGCUAAUACCUCAUACUAACGGAUAACCCAUAUGGGAUGGGAUAGUAGGUGGGGUAAAGGCUCACCUAGUCGCCGAUAUCUUGCUGGUCUGAGAGGAUGAUCAGCCACACUGGGACGGGGACACGGCCCAGACUCCUACGGAGGCAGCAGUGGGGAAUAUUGCACAGUGGGCGCAAGCCUGAAGCAGCCAUGCCGCGUGUAUCAAGAAGGCCUUAGGGUUGUAAAGUACUUUCAGCGGGGAGGCGUUACCCGCAGAAGAAGCACCGGCUAACUCCGUGCCAGCCGCCGCGGUAAUAC
rnacentral:rRNA from 1 species